AACGAACGCUGGCGGCAGGCCUAACACAUGCAAGUCGAGCGAACCCUUCGGGGGUUAGCGGCGGACGGGUUAGUAACGCGUGGGAAUAUACCCUUUGGUACGGAAUAGCCCUCGGGAAACUGGAGAGUAAUACCGUAUGUGCCCCUUGGGGGAAAGAUUUAUCGCCAAAGGAUUUAGCCCGCGUUGGAUUAGAUAGUUGGUGGGGUAAUGGCCUACCAAGUCUACGAUCCAUAGCUGGUUUGAGAGGAUGAUCAGCAACACUGGGACUGGAGACACGGCCCAGACUCCUACGGGAGGCAGCAGUGGGGAAUCUUAAGACAAUGGGCGCAAG
rnacentral:rRNA from 1 species